rnacentral:rRNA from 1 species
GAUGAACGCUAGCGGCAGGCCUAACACAUGCAAGUCGAGGGGCAGCAAAAAAAGUAUUUCGGUACUUUUGUUGACGACCGGGCGGACGGGUGCGUAACGCGUAUACAACCUACCUUUUACAGGGGGAUAACGUUUGGAAAACGAACACUAAUACCCCAUAACAUUCGGAAAGGCAUCUUUCUGAGUUAAAAACUCCGGUGGUAAGAGAUGGGUAUGCGUUGUAUUAGAUAGUUGGUGAGGUAACGGCUCACCAAGUCGACGAUACAUAGGGGGACUGAGAGGUUAACCCCCCACACUGGUACUGAGACACGGACCAGACUCCUACGGGAGGCAGCAGUGAGGAAUAUUGGUCAGCGGGGGCAACCCUGAACCAGCCAUGCCGCGUGCAGGAAGACGGCUCUAUGAGUUGUAAACUGCUUUUGCAAGAGGAUAAACCGGUGGACGUGUCCAUCGUUGAAGGUAUCUUGCGAAUAAGGAUCGGCUAACUCCGUGCCAGCAGCCGCGGUAAUACGGAGGAUCCGAGCGUUAUCCGGAUUUAUUGGGUUUAAAGGGUGCGUAGGCGGUGAGGUAAGUUAGAGGUGAAAUCCCGUGGCUCAACCACGGAACUGCCUCUGAUACUGCCCCGCUAGAGAGUAGAUGCGGUAGGCGGAAUGUGUGGUGUAGCGGUGAAAUGCUUAGAGAUCACACAGAACCCCGAUUGCGAAAGGCAGCUUACCAAUCUAUAUCUGACGUUGAGGCACGAAAGCGUGGGUAGCAAUCAGGAUUAGAUACCCNNGGUAGUCCACGCAGUAAAACGAUGAUAGCUCGUUGUCGGCGAUACACAGUCGGUGACUUAGCGAAAGCGUUAAGCUAUCCACCUGGGGAGUACGUUCGCAAGAAUGAAACUCAAAUGAAUUGACGGG